AUAAUGGGUCAGCGACUUAUAUUCUGUAGCAAGGUUAACCGAAUAGGGGAGCCGAAGGGAAACCGAGUCUUAACUGGGCGUUAAGUUGCAGGGUAUAGACCCGAAACCCGGUGAUCUAGCCAUGGGCAGGUUGAAGGUUGGGUAACACUAACUGGAGGACCGAACCGACUAAUGUUGAAAAAUUAGCGGAUGACUUGUGGCUGGGGGUGAAAGGCCAAUCAAACCGGGAGAUAGCUGGUUCUCCCCGAAAGCUAUUUAGGUAGCGCCUCGUGAAUUCAUCUCCGGGGGUAGAGCACUGUUUCGGCAAGGGGGUCAUCCCGACUUACCAACCCGAUGCAAACUGCGAAUACCGGAGAAUGUUAUCACGGGAGACACACGGCGGGUGCUAACGUCCGUCGUGAAGAGGGAAACAACCCAGACCGCCAGCUAAGGUCCCAAAGUCAUGGUUAAGUGGGAAACGAUGUGGGAAGGCCCAGACAGCCAGGAUGUUGGCUUAGAAGCAGCCAUCAUUUAAAGAAAGCGUAAUAGCUCACUGGUCGAGUCGGCCUGCGCGGAAGAUGUAACGGGGCUAAACCAUGCACCGAAGCUGCGGCAGCGACGCUGAUGCGUUGUUGGGUAGGGGAGCGUUCUGUAAGCCUGUGAAGGUGUGCUGUGAGGCAUGCUGGAGGUAUCAGAAGUGCGAAUGCUGACAUAAGUAACGAUAAAGCGGGUGAAAAGCCCGCUCGCCGGAAGACCAAGGGUUCCUGUCCAACGUUAAUCGGGGCAGGGUGAGUCGACCCCUAAGGCGAGGCCGAAAGGCGUAGUCGAUGGGAAACAGGUUAAUAUUCCUGUACUUGGUGUUACUGCGAAGGGGGGACGGAGAAGGCUAUGUUGGCCGGGCGACGGUUGUCCCGGUUUAAGCGUGUAGGCUGGUUUUCCAGGCAAAUCCGGAAAACUAAGGCUGAGGCGUGAUGACGAGGCACUACGGUGCUGAAGCAACAAAUGCCCUGCUUCCAGGAAAAGCCUCUAAGCAUCAGGUAACAUCAAAUCGUACCCCAAACCGACACAGGUGGUCAGGUAGAGAAUACCAAGGCGCUUGAGAGAACUCGGGUGAAGGAACUAGGCAAAAUGGUGCCGUAACUUCGGGAGAAGGCACGCUGAUAUGUAGGUGAAGUCCCUCGCGGAUGGAGCUGAAAUCAGUCGAAGAUACCAGCUGGCUGCAACUGUUUAUUAAAAACACAGCACUGUGCAAACACGA
rnacentral:rRNA from 1 species